GAGUUUGAUCAUGGCUCAGGAAUGAACGCUGGCGAUAUGCUUUAUACAUGCAAGUCGUACGAGAGUUUUUAACUCAAGUGGCGGACGGGUGAGUAACACGUAAGAAUUUGCCUUUAGGAGGGGGAUAACAACUGGAAACGGUUGCUAAUACCCCAUAUGCUUUUGAGUGAAAUGGAUUUUUCCGCCUAAAGAGAAGCUUGCGGCUGAUUAGCUUGUAGGUAAGGUAAUGGCUUACUAAGGCGACGAUCAGUAUCUGGUUUGAGAGGACGAUCAGACACACUGGAACUGAGACACGGUCCAGACUCCUACGGGAGGCAGCAGUAGGGAAUUUUCCGCAAUGGGCGAAAGCCUGACGGAGCAAUACCGCGUGAGGGAUGACGGCCUAUGGGUUGUAAACCUCUUUUUUCAGGGAGGAACAAAAUGACGUGUACCUGAAGAUAAGCAUCGGCUAACUCCGUGCCAGCAGCCGCGGUAAGACGGAGGAUGCAAGUGUUAUCCGGAAUCACUGGGCGUAAAGCGUCUGUAGGUGGUCAAAUAAGUCAACUGUAAAUCUUGAGGCUCAACCUCA
rnacentral:rRNA from 1 species